AUGUUCGCCUUGGGCUUCUUCAACCCCUCCAACUCCACUCCAGCCAAGCUUUACCUUGGCAUAUGGUACAACAACAUCCCCAAGCUCACCGUUGUGUGGGUUGCCAACCGUGAAAUCCCAAUCACCAACAACAAUCCCUCCACACCGAUGCUUUCCCUCACCAACACCUCCAACCUCAUCAUCUCCGAAGGUAAUAACAGUGGUCGUGUCCUUUGGACGACGGCCAACAUUACCACUACCCGGGCGGGCUCGUCUACCCCGACGGCAGUGCUUCUGAACACGGGCAACCUCGUCAUCCGGUCGUCAAACGGCUCCACGGUGUGGCAGAGCUUCGACCACCGCUCCGACACGAUCCUCCCCGGGAUGAAGAUUCGAAUCAGAUACAGCACACGAGGCACUACCGACCGUCUGGUAUCGUGGAAGGGGCCCGACGACCCCUCCCCAGGGCGCUACUCCUACGGCGUCGACCCGGACACGCCCCUCGAACCAUUCUUGUGGAACGGGGGAAGCUUGGUGGCUCGUAGUGCCCCAUGGACAGGGUACCAAGUGAAGAGCGUACGCAAACAACAGCAAGCGACCAUGAACGCUAGUGAUCUUAUUGUGUACGUAGCCUUCGUCGACAAUGGUGACGAGGUCUACGCCACAUAUAGCCUCUCGGACGGCGCGCCACCCUCAAGGUCAGUCCUUACCUAUUCUGGCGUGUAUCAGUUCGAGAGCUGGAGCAGCAAGUCAUUGGUGUGGGAUGUCAUUUCGAAGUGGCCGUCUGCUGAAUGCAAUGGCUAUGGCUACUGUGGCACGUAUGGCUACUGCGAUGAGACGUUGGCGCCAAUCCCGACUUGCAAGUGCCUAGAUGGCUUUGAGCCGACAAACAAGGAGGAGUGGUCCAGUGGCAGGUUCUUCGCAGGGUGCCGGCGGAAGGAGCUGUUGCACGGGUGCAGCGGUAGCUACUUGGCCUUAUUGGGGAUGAAGGCACCAAGUAAAUUUGCGCUCGUCGGAAGGGGCACAAGUACGUCUGAGGAGUGUGUCGCAGAGUGCAACCGCAACUGCUCCUGUGUGGGGUACGUGUAUCGCAAUGUCAGCAGCGGCAGGUCCGGAGGAGACACGACUAUGUGUUUGGUGUGGGCUGGGGAUUUGAUUGACACCGGAAAGAUAAGCGCAGACCUCGGAGGAGAGACACUCUAUCUCCGACUUGCAGAUACAAAUGCAGCAGGUAAAAGGAGAAAGAGCAACGCAUUCAGGAUUGUGCUGCCAGUUCUAAGCAGUGGUUUUCUUGUACUCAUAUGCAUAUAUGUUGCAUGGUUAAAAUGCAAAGGUAUGUUUAAUUAUAUGCACAAGAAUAUACGAUUGGGUGGUAUGAAUGCCUGUAAUGAAUUUGGGGAAGAAACCCCUCCUCAUGAUCAAGAUUUUCCAUUCGUAAGAUUAGAAGAAAUUGUCCUCGCAACCCACAAUUUCUCCGAAGAAUGUCAGAUUGGACAAGGAGGAUUUGGCAAAGUCUACAAGGGAUUAUUAGGUGGUCAAGAAGUGGCAGUCAAGAGGCUAAGUAGAGAUUCUCAACAAGGAAUAAAGGAAUUCAAGAAUGAAGUAAUUCUAAUUCCAAAAUUACAACAUAGAAACUUGGUUCGACUUCUUGGGUGUUGUAGUGAGAGAGAUGAAAAGCUCUUGAUAUAUGAGUAUCUUCCUAACAAGAGCUUAGAUGCCACCCUAUUUGAUGACUCGAGAAAAUUGUUGCUGGAUUGGACAACCCGGUUUAAUAUAAUCAAAGGGAUUGCAAGGGGGCUUCUAUAUCUUCACGAAGACUCAAGGUUCACCAUAAUUCAUAGGGAUCUAAAAGCUGGAAAUGUUUUGUUGGACUCAUAUAUGAAACCCAAGAUAGCGGAUUUUGGUAUGGCGAGGAUCUUUGGUGAUAACCAGCAAAAUGCAAAUACUCAACGCGUAGUUGGAACAUACGGCUACAUGGCUCCUGAGUAUGCAAUGGAAGGUGUCUUCUCUACCAAAUCUGAUGUUUACAGCUUCGGCGUAUUACUACUGGAGGUUGUAACUGGUAUAAGGAGAAAUUCCAAUUGUGAAACCAUGGGAUUUUCCAGCCUUGCAGUUUAUUCAUGGAAUAAGUGGAACGAAGAAAAGACCAAGGAACUGCCAGACUCAUCUAUCAUAGAUAUUUCACCAGACGAAGUUCUACUUUGCGUCCAUGUAGCACUCUUGUGUGUGCAGGAUAACCCAGAUGACAGGCCACUCAUGUCAUCUGUUGUGUUCGUCCUAGAGAAUGGAAGCAGCACACUUACAUCCCCCAAUCGCCCUGCCUACUUUUCGCGACGAAGUACUGAAGUGGAUCAAAUAAGAGAAGAUAUUCAAACUUCCGUGAAUAGUUUUACUCUUACUCAGAUAGAGGGGCGAUGA
rnacentral:rRNA from 1 species